rnacentral:misc_RNA from 1 species
AGCAGCCGCGGUAAUUCCAGCUCCAAUAGCGUAUAUUAAAGUUGUUGCAGUUAAAAAGCUCGUAGUUGAAUUUCGGGGUUAGUAGGUUGGUCAUGCCUCUGGUAUGUACUGGUCUCACUGAUUCCUCCUUCCUGAUGAGCCGUAAUGCCAUUAAUUUGGUGUCGCGGGGAAUCAGGACUGUUACUUUGAAAAAAUUAGAGUGUUUAAAGCAGGCUCACGCUUGAAUACAUUAGCAUGGAAUAAUGAAAUAGGACGUUUGACCCUAUUUUGUUGGUUUCUAGGAUCGACGUAAUGAUUAAUAGGGAUAGUUGGGGGGCAUUAGUAUUCAAUUGUCAGAGGUGAAAUUCUUGGAUUUAUUGAAGACUAACUACUGCGAAAGCAUUUGCCAAGGAUGUUUUCAUUAAUCAAGAACGAAAGUUAGGGGAUCGAAGACGAUCAGAUACCGUCGUAGUCUUAACCAUAAACUAUGCCGACUAGGGGAUCGGAUGAUGUUAAUUUUUAUAAUGACUCAUUCGGCGCC